AACGAACGCUGGCGGCAUGCCUAAUACAUGCAAGUCGAACGAGAUCUUCGGAUCUAGUGGCGCACGGGUGCGUAACGCGUGGGAAUCUGCCCUUGGGUUCGGAAUAACAGUUAGAAAUGACUGCUAAUACCGGAUGAUGACGAAAGUCCAAAGAUUUAUCGCCCAAGGAUGAGCCCGCGUAGGAUUAGCUAGUUGGUGAGGUAAAGGCUCACCAAGGCUACGAUCCUUAGCUGGUCUGAGAGGAUGAUCAGCCACACUGGGACUGGGACACGGCCCAGACUCCUACGGGAGGCAGCAGUAGGGAAUAUUGGACAAUGGGCGAAAGCCUGAUCCUGCAAUGCCGCGUGAGCGAUGAAGGCCUUAGGGUUGUAAAGCUCUUUUACCCGGGAUGAUAAUGACAGUACCGGGAGAAUAAGCCCCGGCUAACUCCGUGCCAGCCGCCGCAGUAA
rnacentral:rRNA from 1 species